UCUCUGAUGUUAGCGGCGGACGGGUGAGUAACACGUGGAUAACCUACCUAUAAGACUGGGAUAACUUCGGGAAACCGGAGCUAAUACCGGAUAAUAUUUUGAACCGCAUGGUUCAAAAGUGAAAGACGGUCUUGCUGUCACUUAUAGAUGGAUCCGCGCUGCAUUAGCUAGUUGGUAAGGUAACGGCUUACCAAGGCAACGAUGCAUAGCCGACCUGAGAGGGUGAUCGGCCACACUGGAACUGAGACACGGUCCAGACUCCUACGGGAGGCAGCAGUAGGGAAUCUUCCGCAAUGGGCGAAAGCCUGACGGAGCAACGCCGCGUGAGUGAUGAAGGUCUUCGGAUCGUAAAACUCUGUUAUUAGGGAAGAACAUAUGUGUAAGUAACUGUGCACAUCUUGACGGUACCUAAUCAGAAAGCCACGGCUAACUACGUGCCAGCAGCCGCGGUAAUACGUAGGUGGCAAGCGUUAUCCGGAAUUAUUGGGCGUAAAGCGCGCGUAGGCGGUUUUUUAAGUCUGAUGUGAAAGCCCACGGCUCAACCGUGGAGGGUCAUUGGAAACUGGAAAACUUGAGUGCAGAAGAGGAAAGUGGAAUUCCAUGUGUAGCGGUGAAAUGCGCAGAGAUAUGGAGGAACACCAGUGGCGAAGGCGACUUUCUGGUCUGUAACUGACGCUGAUGUGCGAAAGCGUGGGGAUCAA
rnacentral:rRNA from 1 species